rnacentral:rRNA from 1 species
UACGUAGGCAGCGAGCGUUGUUCGGAAUUACUGGGCGUAAAGAGUGCGUAGGCGGUGCUCUAAGUCUGGUGUGAAAUCUCCCGGCUCAACUGGGAGGGUGCGCCGGAAACUGGAGUGCUUGAGUGUGGGAGAGGUAAGCGGAAUUCCUGGUGUAGCGGUGAAAUGCGUAGAUAUCAGGAGGAACACCUGUGGUGUAGACAGCUUACUGGACCACGACUGACGCUGAGGCACGAAAGCGUGGGUAGCAAACAGG